rnacentral:rRNA from 1 species
UGGGGAAUCUUGCGCAAUGGGCGAAAGCCUGACGCAGCAACGCCGCGUGCGGGAAGAAGGCCUUCGGGUUGUAAACCGCUUUCAGUAGGGACGAAAACAGACGGUACCUACAGAAGAAGCCCCGGCCAACUACGUGCCAGCAGCCGCGGUAACACGUAGGGGGCGAGCGUUGUCCGGAUUUAUUGGGCGUAAAGAGCUCGUAGGCGGCUCAGUAAGUCAGGUGUGAAACCUCCAGGCUCAACCUGGAGACGCCACCUGAUACUGCUGUGGCUAGAGUCCGGUAGAGGAGCGUGGAAUUCCUGGUGUAGCGGUGAAAUGCGCAGAUAUCAGGAGGAACACCAACGGCGAAGGCAGCGCUCUGGGCCGGUACUGACGCUGAGGAGCGAAAGCGUGGGUAGCAAACAGG